UGAUUCGCUAAACGCGAUUCAGAGUCCCGAUCUGAAUCAAAUGUUUUUGAACUCCGAAGCCCCGAUCAAAUGAUUCGCGAAACGCGCAUCGGAGUCCCGAUCUGAAUCAAAUGUUUUGCAAACUCCGAAGUCCCGAUCAAAUGAUUCGCGAAACGCGCAUCGGAUCCCGAUCUGAAUCAAAUGUUUUGCAAACUCCGAAGCCCCGAUCAAAUGAUUCGCGAAACGCGCUUCGGAUCCCGAUCUGAAUCAAAUGUUUUGCAAACUCCGAAGCCCCGAUCAAAUGAUUCGCGAAACGCGCAUCGGAGUCCCGAUCUGAAUCAAAUGUUUUGCAAACUCCGAAGCCCCGAUCAAAUGAUUCGGGAAACGCGCUUCGGAGUCCCGAUCUGAAUCAAAUGUUUUGCAAACUCCGAAGCCCCGAUCAAAUGAUUCGCGAAACGCGCAUCGGAGUCCCGAUCUGAAUCAAAUGUUUUGCAAACUCCGAAGCCCCGAUCAAAUGAUUCGCGAAACGCGCAUCGGAGUCCCGAUCUGAAUCAAAUGUUUUGCAAACUCCGAAGCCCCGAUCAAAUGAUUCGCGAAACGCGCAUCGGAGUCCCGAUCUGAAUCAAAUGUUUUGCAAACUCCGAAGCCCCGAUCAAAUGAUUCGCGAAAUGCGCAUCGGAGUCCCGAUCUGAAUCAAAUGUUUUGCAAACUCCGAAGCCCCGAUCAAAUGAUUCGCGAAACGCGCAUCGGAGUCC